rnacentral:rRNA from 1 species
UACGAGGGGGGCGAGCGUUGUUCGGAAUUAUUGGGCGUAAAGGGUGCGUAGGCGGUUCCGCAAGUCCUGUGUGAAAUCUUCGGGCUCAACUCGAAGUCUGCACGGGAAACUGCGGGGCUUGAGUGUGGGAGAGGUGAGUGGAAUUCCCGGUGUAGCGGUGAAAUGCGUAGAUACUGGGAGGAACACCAGUGGCGAAGGCGGCUACCUGGACCGGUUCUGACGCUGAGGCGCGAAAGCGUGGGUAGCAAACAGG